rnacentral:rRNA from 1 species
UCCGUAGGUGAACCUGCGGAAGGAUCAUUAACGUGGAGCCGCCGGGCCCGCCCGGCGCGCUUUGACACCCCGUGCUUACGAGAACCCGUUGCUUUGGCGGGCCGUCGGGCAACCGCCCGCCGCCGGCUCAGGCCGGCGAGCGCCCGCCAGAGGACCACACGCAAUCCACCUGAUAUACCGCGGUCCGAGCCACAUACGAAAUAAAGUAAAACUUUCAACAACGGAUCUCUUGGUUCCGGCAUCGAUGAAGAACGCAGCGAAAUGCGAUAAGUAAUGUGAAUUGCAGAAUUCAGUGAAUCAUCGAGUCUUUGAACGCACAUUGCGCCCCUUGGCAUUCCGAGGGGCACGCCUGUCCGAGCGUCAUUAUCGACCCCUCGAGCCAUCCCGCUCGGUGUUGAGCCCCGCCCCUCACCGCGGCGGGCUUCGAAAGCAGUCGGCGGCGACGGCGCGGUCCCGAGCGUGAUGCACUCACGGACUCGUUGGAACGUGCCAGCCGGCCCGCUCGACCACCCAAGACGUUGACCUCGGAUCAGGCGGGGACACCCGCUGAACUUAAGCAUAUCAAUAAGGCGGGAGGGGAAGGUCGGACUGGCCAAGGGCACACAGGGGGGGAUA